CGCCAAGCUGCAGAAGGCAGUCAGCAACAACAAGGAAUUGCUUGCACACAGGCCAGUCAUUCCUGAUGCUCUUUCUUUUCCUGGAUAUUUCUGUUGGUGGGCACGAGCAAGCAAAGGGAGCUUAGAGUGAAACCCAAGCAUUAGUGAGAAAUUAGAGUUGACAGAUGAGUGUGGGAGGGUGGGGAAGGAGGGAGUGAGGACGGCAUCUCCUUCCCCAUGUCAAGCAUAUUUCUCACCCGUUACAAUGCUCCUUGUUCUCUGAUGUGUCCUUUCCCAUAGAGGAAGUUAUUUGUGAGAGAGGAGGAGAGGAGCUAGCUCAUGGGAAAAAAAUGUCUCUCGGGCUGUGAGCAGUGAAUUGGCUUGUGCCCAAGUAAUGUCCUCAAGGUGUGCCAUGAGAGAUGAAGUCACUUGGCUCAUUUUACCAGCUUCAGGAUGGCAUUAAGACCUGACAAAGCCAGGCAACACGUACAAGGAAACUAACCUGAGGCAGGACCGUGGCACUGAAGGAGUCUCCCUGGAUGCAGCAAAGGUGGAGACCUUGUCCAAGAAAAAUGCUGGACGGGCCUUUACCCCAAAGAGGAAAGCUGGGUCAUGGAACAAGGAAAUGAAUUACAUCAAGUGAAAAUGCACAUCUGAUGCCCAGUCCAGACCAAGCACGUCUGUUCCUGCUGACUUCGAAUGAUUGUCAAGUGGCUGGACUCAGAUGUUAGCCGUCUGUCAUUGCUGCUAAUAACAUAUUCAUGUACAAAAACAACAGAGGGGUAUCUAGGCAGCUGGAGCCCUCUGUGUUCCGGACUACAGAUUCGGGGACCCAAAGGUGAGUCCAACUCAUGUGACUUUUGUUCAUCAGUAGCACAGUAGAUUUGAUUGUUACUUUUCCUGAGCACUUACUCAAUUUCUAGCGACAACUUUUAUUUUCAUGGUCUGAACAUUUGAUGAUCUCUUUAAGCAACUGAUGGUUUAUAGAGGUAAUUGUCUCUGUUGAGUGAAAGGUGACAGAAUUUAGCUAGAAUCUCCUCUCUGUCUGUCUAUUUUUAGUUCAAAUCUAUUAAGAAUAUUAUGCCAACCAGGAAGUUAAUAUCUGGACUGGCGGGUUUUGUAUUUGUUGGUUUAUAUUUGACAUCUGACUGAAAUUUUAGAAAUGAAAUUAUAAGCUUUCUCUGUGAGUAUGUCUGUAUUUAGAAAGUCCU
rnacentral:lncRNA from 1 species